rnacentral:tRNA from 1 species
GCCAGGAUUGCAUAGUGGUUUGAGUGUUGGACUACGACUCUGGACACCAGGGUUCAAUUCCCAGCUCAGCCA